GAUGAAGAACGCAGCGAAAUGCGAUAAGUAAUGUGAAUUGCAGAAUUCAGUGAAUCAUCGAAUCUUUGAACGCACCUUGCGCCCUUUGGCUAUUCCGAAGGGCAUGCCUGUUUGAGUAUCAUGAACACCUCAACUCUCAUGGCUUGCCAUGAUGAGCUUGGACUUUUGGGGGUCUUGCUGGCCUGUGGUCAGCUCCUCUCAAAUGAAUUAGCCUGCCAGUGUUUGGUGGCAUCACAGGUGUGAUAACUAUCUACGCUUGUGGUUUUCCACCAGGUAACCUUCAGUGAUGAAGGUUCGCUGGGGCUCAUAAACGUCUCUCCUCAGUGAGGACAGCUCUUUGAACGUUUGAUCUCAAAUCAGGUAGGACUACCCGCUGAACUUAAGCAUAUCAAUAAGCGGAGG
rnacentral:misc_RNA from 1 species